rnacentral:rRNA from 1 species
UGGGGAAUAUUGCACAAUGGGCGCAAGCCUGAUGCAGCCAUGCCGCGUGUAUGAAGAAGGCCUUCGGGUUGUAAAGUACUUUCAGUCGGGAGGAAGGUGGUAAGGUUAAUAACCUUAUCAAUUGACGUUACAGACAGAAGAAGCACCGGCUAACUCCGUGCCAGCAGCCGCGGUAAUACGGAGGGUGCAAGCGUUAAUCGGAAUUACUGGGCGUAAAGCGCACGCAGGCGGUUGAUUGAGUCAGAUGUGAAAUCCCCGGGCUUAACCCGGGAAUUGCAUCUGAUACUGGUCAGCUAGAGUCUUGUAGAGGGGGGUAGAAUUCCAUGUGUAGCGGUGAAAUGCGUAGAGAUGUGGAGGAAUACCGGUGGCGAAGGCGGCCCCCUGGACAAAGACUGACGCUCAGGUGCGAAAGCGUGGGGAGCAAACAGG